rnacentral:lncRNA from 1 species
CCAAAACGAAAAUCGAGCAUAGAUUACCGAUCCCCAUUGCAAGGGGGUUGUAAGUUUGACUCUUGACAAGCUAGAUGGAGGCUUGGAAUGAAGCGGGUCAAACGGAGCAAGUAUGAAAAGGAAAGCGUAAUUUGGAUGCGAGGACACUCGCAUCUGAAGAUAGCGAGAGUUUAACAAAUUGCAGAUAUGAUGAGGGAACGUUCCGAGAUGUGACAAGAAGAGCAUACUCAUCAAGGACCUAAAUCGCGUAACGAUCGCAAAUAAGUAAUGGUAAGGAAUGGCCGUUGGGGCAAGCAUUACCAGGUGCACAUUUUAAACUUAUAGUACAAACAGUAAUAUGCAACAAAUACAUAGUGAAUGACAGUUGCAUAUAGAAUAUGAAACUUGGAAAACCUGGAUAGGUCCUAUCCAGGAUGACGUUUCCAAGAGAAAUUCAGUAGAGAAUAUGUAUUAUUCACAAAUUGUGAAUAACAAGACAAUAACAGAAUUCAGUUUAUAUAGAAACUUGGACGAGAGUGAUCAUCCAUGUAAGUAUUCUCAAUAUAAAUCCUAUUGAGAAAAGUAAUGAUCACAUCAACGAAUGUGAAUAAAUGUUUAUAAAAAGGGACAUUUUAAAUGUUCAAGGAUAAACGACUAAAACUAAUAAUUGUUAACUAACAAUUAAAUAAAGUUUUACCAAAUGAAAUCAUAAAUAUGGAGAUAAUUUGAGGAGUUACUUACAUGGGACGUGAUGUGGUAAUUAUAAUAAGGUCACGCGUACCAUGUGUUGAUCGCUUACUCUGGCCAAGUAAGUAGUGAACACAUGAUAGCAUGAGCUUAUUAUAAUGAGCGCAGUUAUGUCCGAUGUAGUAAGGUCAAGAUGAAUGAAAAUUUAAAGGAUCCUUAGGGUCAAGAAAUCUUAUGGGCAUACUCGUAUAAAUGGUUUUCGCGGGAACCAUAAAAACGAUGUAUGGCGCACAUAGAAACAAAAGACCCAAGGAAAUUCGUGACAUAAGUCAUUUUGGACGAAACAACCAUGGUAGACAAAAAGGGCAUUGUAAAACCAAAGUAUAAAUGACCCGCGGGGUCAUAGAAACAAAGGUAUUGCCCACAUGAGAAAAACGAUCAAAGUCGUUGACUUUGGUCGUAGUAAAGAAAUAAUGAUGAUGAUAAUCAUCAUUCAUAGUUUAUAAGACUGUCAAGGAUGGUCAAAUAAAGAAUAAAGGUUUGGUUGAAUAAAAGCAAUGGAUUUCGCUAAGACAACCAAACAAAUUAAAACGAAAUCUUAAUGUAUACCGGAAUGCUUGCACUAAUAAUGACUUCGGUAAAGUACCCGGUUGAUGGGUAAGGAUUUAGAAACAUGCGUAAACCGAGAAACGGGAACACGAAUUUAAAGUCAAAAGACUCGGAUUACGAGUUAUGACUAUAAAAUCUCGUAUAUAGAAAUUGUGAGUAAAUAUGUUCAACUAUUCGAAGUCGAAUGGGUUGAAUAAAGAAUAAAGUUGAUUGUUUAUAAGUGAUGGAUUUCACAUUAAUAAGUCAAACAGGUUGAAUACAAUAUAACGCCGAAUGGCACAAGUGAGCGCUAGCCAGAGAAAGGUAGCGUUAAAUGCAAGAGAAUAAUGAGCCCGGUAAUGGGAUAUAACCAAAUAAGAAUAUAUGCAAAUCAAAUAACAGUAAGCAUAAGAAGAACUGACGCAUAAAUGACGUGAGAAGUCAUAAAAUCGGAAAAUCGUCCGAAAGAAAACAAUUAUAGCCAUGAAACUACAAUUAAGGUUAACGGGACCUAAGCUUGAAACCAAAUAAUUCUUCGAACAAAAACAGGGUGCCUUGACACCAAACAUGUGUUUUAAGAAUGACAUGAGUAAGGAGUGAUCUACGGGAUCAACAUAACCUUUAGGGUUACAAACAAAUGAAAGAUCUACGGGACUAAAACGACCCACGGGUCAUGAUUAGAAAGAAGUUAUAAGGACUUCGCCCUAAAGAGGUGAACGUCUAAUCAAAAUAGCCCAUAAGGCUAAGUGAUAAAAACCUACGGGUUAAUUAGAUAAAGCGAGGGAAUCAGUUGAGAAUCCCCGCAUAA